rnacentral:lncRNA from 1 species
AAUUUUGUGUGCGAAUUAUAUCCAUUCUUUCUCUACCAUGUUUGAUGUGUUGAGAAAAUACAUGAAGUAUACUAUCCCCUACUUAUGAUAUAGCGAAUUGUGGACUCCAAUCUUGUGAUCAAGUUAUGUCAUAUGUGUUAGUUUUCUUCUAUCGAGUCCUGGGGGUAUUCCUACCCGAAAAACAUAGUUGUGUGCCUAGAGCUAUGUUAUUUUUUCACGAUAAUCUCAGUCAAGAUAUAAUUGAUAGAACUCAGUCAGUCAUGUGACUCAGGAAACCUAAGAAAUCUUAUGAUCCCAGUUAACUCUCAGAUAAUAGUACUACUCCGUCAAUCAACGGAAGUCAAUUCAUCUGUCCAUGUACAGUCAGCUGAAUCAUGUUUAGUCUCUUCAUAUGGGAGUAGGAGUUAGCACCGAGUGAACCCAAGGAUGGGAACUCACCUAUAUUUGAGGGUGUGAUUCUUAGCAGUCAUCCUUGCGUUCCAAAACUAUGUAGCCAGCAUAGGUUGAGACAUCGUAGCCUGUUAUAUAAGGGUAGAUGUGGUGGCUUAACCUGUUAUAUGAGGGUUCCCACUGUUCUCACUAGAGUUACCUGUUAUAUGAGGGUUUCUCACAUGUUGUCCUUACCAGUGGCGGGUAUUGACACCCUUUCAGUCAGGGCAGAGAUUGGACCCUAUCUUAGCUAUAAUGGAACAUAUGGGGAAUGUCGGUUAA